UACGUAGGGGGCAAGCGUUGUCCGGAUUUAUUGGGCGUAAAGCGCACGCAGGCGGUCUUUCAAGUUUCGAGUGACAGGUUAGGGCUUAACUCUAGCAGGACUCGGAAAACUGGAAGACUUGAGGACGAGAGAGGGACGCGGAAUUCCAGGUGGAGCGGUGAAAUGCGUAGAGAUCUGGAAGAACACCAAAGGCGAAGGCAGCGUCCUGGCUCGUAUCUGACGCUCAUGUGCGAAAGCUAGGGGAGCGAACGGG
rnacentral:rRNA from 1 species